rnacentral:tRNA from 1 species
GCCCCCGUAGUUUAAUGGAUAAAAUUAUAGAUUCCGGUUCUAUUGAUAGCAGUUCGAUUCUGCUCGGGGGUA